AGCAGCCGCGGUAAUUCCAGCUCCAAUAGCGUAUAUUAAAGUUGUUGCAGUUAAAAAGCUCGUAGUUGAACCUUAGGCCCGUGCGGGCGGUCCGUCCUCUGGGCGAGCACUGCCUCGUCGCGGGUCUCACCUUCUGGCGAGCGUGGAUGCCAUUCAUUUGGUGUCUGCGGGAACCAGGACCUUUACCUUGAAAAAUUAGAGUGCUCAAAGCGGGCUCUUACGCUUGAAUACAUUAGCAUGGAAUAAUGAAAUAGGACGACGGUUCUAUUUUGUUGGUUUCCGGGAUUGUCGUAAUGAUUAAUAGGGAUAGUUGGGGGCAUUCGUAUUCAAUUGUCAGAGGUGAAAUUCUUGGAUUUAUUGAAGACGGACUACUGCGAAAGCAUUUGCCAAGGAUGUUUUCAUUAAUCAAGAACGAAAGUUGGGGGAUCGAAGACGAUCAGAUACCGUCGUAGUCUCAACCAUAAACUAUGCCGACUGGGAAUCGGGCGAUGUUAUUUUUCG
rnacentral:sRNA from 1 species